rnacentral:rRNA from 1 species
UUAUACAGCCAUACCAUCUUGAAAAUUGCCAUCUCGUCACAUCUCAGAAGCUCAGCAGGCUCAGGCCUGGUUUGUACUGGGAUGGGAGACUGCUGGGAAUACCAGGUGCCACAGU